CAGCAGCCGCGGUAAUACGAAGGGUGCAAGCGUUACCCGGAAUUACUGGGCGUAAAGCGUGCGUAGGUGGUGGUUUAAGUCCGUUGUGAAAGCCCUGGGCUCAACCUGGGAAUUGCAGUGGAUACUGGGUCACUAGAGUGUGGUAGAGGAUAGUGGAAUUUCCGGUGUAGCAGUGAAAUGCGUAGAGAUCGGAAGGAACAUCUGUGGCGAAGGCGACUAUCUGGGCCAACACUGACACUGAGGCACGAAAGCGUGGGGAGCAAACAGGAUUAGAUACCCCUGUAGUCCCUGUCUCUUAUAA
rnacentral:rRNA from 1 species